rnacentral:rRNA from 1 species
UACAGAGGGUGCAAGCGUUUAAUCGGAAUUACUGGGCGUAAAGAGCUCGUAGGUGGUUUGUCGCGUUGUUCGUGAAAACUCACAGCUCAACUGUGGGCGUGCGGGCGAUACGGGCAGACUGGAGUACUGCAGGGGGAGACUGGAAUUCCUGGUGUAGCGGUGGAAUGCGCAGAUAUCAGGAGGAACACCGGUGGCGAAGGCGGGUCUCUGGGGCAGUAACUGACGCUGAGGAGCGAAAGCGUGGGGGAGCGAACAGG